GCAGCUUCUUUUGGGCUGCUCUAAGGUUGCAGGUUUCCUCUACCCUAUUCUUGAUGGGCAAAGCAUGAGCCCAUGAAGCUCAAGAAGAGGUGGCAAUAGAAGGCCACGUGCUUUGGCUGGAGGUAGAGACGCAGUCUUCAAGCGGGUGGUGAGGGUCUUGAUUCUGCUCUGAGUUCUGCAAUCUCAGGUUUGCAGGUCUUCUCCUGAACCCCUGCUCUGUCCUCAUGAGCUGUGGUGUGUUUCUUACCAGCAUCUCCACUUGUCCUCUGCAGAGUGUGGAUGAAACAUCUCUUGGGGAGAGAUGGGAGUGGAAUCCCUGCUUGUGUUCAAGCUGUUGAACCCCAGAGCCUAGAAUUGGACCUGCUGGGCUGUGAUGAUUAGCAAACACUUGUGUUGGGAGAAAUACUAAAAUCUGUGGAAUUCCUGGAACAACUGUCUUGAAUAGUUGCCUGCACCUGUUCUAAACCAGGAUCUGACCGAUAACAACUUCUCCACCCGUGGUCGCCAUUAAAGUCUUAUUGGAACAGGAGCGUUUAGGGCAAUUGGGAAUCAGAAACCAGCAGUGAGCCAGCCACCUUGAGGAAUGAAGCGGAGAGAGAGAGAAUCAGACCUCCGGUUUACAUGCAGCUAGAGUUCUGAGGUGCAGUGACUCACUCAGGGCCACCCAGCGAAGAGCAGCUUGGCUGUCCUCCCAGGCUCGAUCCCUCUGGUCAUCCAAAUAUGGAAGCACAUGGUGACACAGGGCCACAUGCUUUUCCUGGGCCUUCUGAGGCAGAAUGCUUCCAAGGACACUUCGGAAUGAAGGGAGUAGAGUCCAAGAGGCCUUUGUCAGGGUCCGCCAGAAGAAGUCUCCCAAGGAUCCUCGUGGAAUCCCGAAGUUCUCUUUUUCUGGAAGGGGUGGGGUCUUGGAAUACUGUCCAAGUCACUGUUGACAUGGCAACAGAAAUGUCCUUCCAGAAUGUGGGGAUAACCUUAUUCCAAACCUUCCUCUGGAAGUCUUCUUUACCCAUUGCCUGCCCCUUUGACAGCCAUCUCCAGACUAACCUUGAAACUUAAUCCGGGUUUCUCUUAUGCAUAAAUACAAUGUCAGUCAUUCUUUUCUUCCUCUGAAAGUGACAGAUAAUCACCAAAGAAUAUUCAAAUAAGCAAAAAUGCCCUCCUUUCUUUUC